rnacentral:rRNA from 1 species
UACGGAGGGGGCGAGCGUUAUUCGGAAUUAUUGGGCGUAAAGGGCGCGUAGGCGGCCCGGUAAGUCAAAGGUGAAAAUCCCUCGGCUCAACUGAGGAACUGCCUUUGAAACUGUCGGGCUUGAGGCCGGGAGGGGGUAGCGGAAUUCCCAGUGUAGCGGUGAAAUGCGUAGAUACUGGGAGGAACACCAGUGGCGAAGGCGGCUACCUGGACCGGUUCUGACGCUGAGGCGCGAAAGCGUGGGUAGCAAACAGG